rnacentral:rRNA from 1 species
GACGAACGCUGGCGGCGUGCUUAACACAUGCAAGUCGAACGGUGAAGCGCCUUCCUUUUUGGUGGGUGUGGAUGAGUGGCGAACGGGUGAGUAACACGUGAGUAACCUGCCCCCUUCUUCUGGAUAACCGCAUGAAAGUGUGGCUAAUACGGGAUAUUCUGGGUCUGUCGCAUGAUGGGUCUGGGAAAGAUAUUGUUUCGGUGGGGGAUGGGCUCGCGGCCUAUCAGCUGGUUGGUGGGGUGAUGGCCUACCAAGGCGGUGACGGGUAGCCGGCCUGAGAGGGUGGACGGUCACACUGGGACUGAGACACGGCCCCGACUCCUACGGGAGGCAGCAGUGGGGAAUAUUGCACAAUGGGCGCAAGCCUGAUGCAGCGACGCCGCGUGAGGGAUGGAGGCCUUCGGGUUGUGAACCUCUUUCGCCAGUGAAGCAGGCCUGCCUCGUUUGUGGGUGGGUUGACGGUAGCUGGAUAAGAAGCGCCGGCUAACUACGUG